UCGAAGGAAUGUACUACGGGCGCUCGUAGGACUCCGCAGCAUGUUCGCAGCUGAUGGCUGACGCCCGUGGCUACCGACACGAGACCGGCUACCGACUGCGUGACAGUAUGAAAGGUCGAUCUUGGCCCACGACUGUAAAUGGAAAACCAAAAGUGGCGGUGGCGGUUUUCUCUGUCAGAGAAACAGCAAAAGUACUAUCGCACAACGAAACAUUGCACAACUGAAGCAUCGCCUGUGCCUCAUGCUGCUGUUUCAUCAAAGAUCAAGGUCAUCGCCCUUGGAGGGACUUUAUGCAUGGCAGUAUGGUUCGAGUUCCACACGGAGAAUCCUGAAGCUAAUUCUUCCAAGGCAGAGCGGGGCAUGCUGAAAGUUAUCAGAAGGCCGAAAGAAUAAAU